GGUGAAAAGCACCCCGGAAGGGGAGUGAAAUAGAACCUGAAACCGUGUGCUUACAAGUAGUCAGAGCCCGUUAAUGGGUGAUGGCGUGCCUUUUGUAGAAUGAACCGGCGAGUUACGAUUUGAUGCAAGGUUAAGCAGUAAAUGUGGAGCCGUAGCGAAAGCGAGUCUGAAUAGGGCGUUUAGUAUUUGGUCGUAGACCCGAAACCAGGUGAUCUACCCUUGGUCAGGUUGAAGUUCAGGUAACACUGAAUGGAGGACCGAACCGACUUACGUUGAAAAGUGAGCGGAUGAACUGAGGGUAGCGGAGAAAUUCCAAUCGAACCUGGAGAUAGCUGGUUCUCUCCGAAAUAGCUUUAGGGCUAGCCUCAAGUGAUGAUUAUUGGAGGUAGAGCACUGUUUGGACGAGGGGCCCCUCUCGGGUUACCGAAUUCAGACAAACUCCGAAUGCCAAUUAAUUUAACUUGGGAGUCAGAACAUGGGUGAUAAGGUCCGUGUUCGAAAGGGAAACAGCCCAGACCACCAGCUAAGGUCCCAAAAUAUAUGUUAAGUGGAAAAGGAUGUGGCGUUGCCCAGACAACUAGGAUGUUGGCUUAGAAGCAGCCAUCAUUUAAAGAGUGCGUAAUAGCUCACUAGUCGAGUGACACUGCGCCGAAAAUGUACCGGGGCUAAACAUAUUACCGAAGCUGUGGAUUGUCCUUUGGACAAUGGUAGGAGAGCGUUCUAAGGGCGUUGAAGCAUGAUCGUAAGGACAUGUGGAGCGCUUAGAAGUGAGAAUGCCGGUGUGAGUAGCGAAAGACGGGUGAGAAUCCCGUCCACCGAUUGACUAAGGUUUCCAGAGGAAGGCUCGUCCGCUCUGGGUUAGUCGGGUCCUAAGCUGAGGCCGACAGGCGUAGGCGAUGGAUAACAGGUUGAUAUUCCUGUACCACCUAUAAUCGUUUUAAUCGAUGGGGGGACGCAGUAGGAUAGGCGAAGCGUGCGAUUGGAUUGCACGUCUAAGCAGUAAGGCUGAGUAUUAGGCAAAUCCGGUACUCAUUAAGGCUGAGCUGUGAUGGGGAGAAGACAUUGUGUCUUCGAGUCGUUGAUUUCACACUGCCGAGAAAAGCCUCUAGAU
rnacentral:rRNA from 1 species